AACGCACCUUGCGCCUCUUGGCUAUUCCGAGAGGCAUGCCUGUUUGAGUAUCAUGAACACCUCAACUCUCAUGGUUUGCCAUGAUGAGCUUGGACUUUGGAGGUUUUGCUGGCAUCUGUGGUCAGCUCCUCUCAAAUGAAUCAGCUUGCUAGUGAUUGGUGGCAUUGUGGGUGUGAUAACUAUCUACGCCCAUGGGUGUCCACCAGGCAACCUUCAGUGAUGGAGGUUCACAGGGGCUUAGAAACGUCUCUCCUCAGCGAGGGACAGCUUUGAACGUUCGAUCUCAAAUCAGGUAGGACUACCCGCUGAACUUAA
rnacentral:rRNA from 1 species